GUCCUAGCCCUAAACGGUGCAUGUUUGCUGUGGGAGGAAUCGACCCCUUCCGUGGCGAAGCUAACGCGAUAAACAUGCCGCCUUGGGAGUACGGUCGCAAGAUUAAACUCAAAGAAAUUGACGGGGCCUGCACAAGCGGUGGAGUAUGUGGCUUAAUUCGAUGCAACGCGAAGAACCUUACCUGGCCUUGACAUGCCUCUGGUAGAACCAUGAAAGUGGGACGACCCCGCAAGGGGAGGAAGCACAGGUGCUGCAUGGCUGUCGU
rnacentral:rRNA from 1 species